GUGACUGCGUACCUUUUGUAUAAUGGGUCAGCGACUUAUAUUCUGUAGCAAGGUUAACCGAAUAGGGGAGCCGAAGGGAAACCGAGUCUUAACUGGGCGUUAAGUUGCAGGGUAUAGACCCGAAACCCGGUGAUCUAGCCAUGGGCAGGUUGAAGGUUGGGUAACACUAACUGGAGGACCGAACCGACUAAUGUUGAAAAAUUAGCGGAUGACUUGUGGCUGGGGGUGAAAGGCCAAUCAAACCGGGAGAUAGCUGGUUCUCCCCGAAAGCUAUUUAGGUAGCGCCUCGUGAAUUCAUCUCCGGGGGUAGAGCACUGUUUCGGCAAGGGGGUCAUCCCGACUUACCAACCCGAUGCAAACUGCGAAUACCGGAGAAUGUUAUCACGGGAGACACACGGCGGGUGCUAACGUCCGUCGUGAAGAGGGAAACAACCCAGACCGCCAGCUAAGGUCCCAAAGUCAUGGUUAAGUGGGAAACGAUGUGGGAAGGCCCAGACAGCCAGGAUGUUGGCUUAGAAGCAGCCAUCAUUUAAAGAAAGCGUAAUAGCUCACUGGUCGAGUCGGCCUGCGCGGAAGAUGUAACGGGGCUAAACCAUGCACCGAAGCUGCGGCAGCGACGCUUAUGCGUUGUUGGGUAGGGGAGCGUUCUGUAAGCCUGUGAAGGUGUGCUGUGAGGCAUGCUGGAGGUAUCAGAAGUGCGAAUGCUGACAUAAGUAACGAUAAAGCGGGUGAAAAGCCCGCUCGCCGGAAGACCAAGGGUUCCUGUCCAACGUUAAUCGGGGCAGGGUGAGUCGACCCCUAAGGCGAGGCCGAAAGGCGUAGUCGAUGGGAAACAGGUUAAUAUUCCUGUACUUGGUGUUACUGCGAAGGGGGGACGGAGAAGGCUAUGUUGGCCGGGCGACGGUUGUCCCGGUUUAAGCGUGUAGGCUGGUUUUCCAGGCAAAUCCGGAAAAUCAAGGCUGAGGCGUGAUGACGAGGCACUACGGUGCUGAAGCAACAAAUGCCCUGCUUCCAGGAAAAGCCUCUAAGCAUCAGGUAACAUCAAAUCGUACCCCAAACCGACACAGGUGGUCAGGUAGAGAAUACCAAGGCGCUUGAGAGAACUCGGGUGAAGGAACUAGGCAAAAUGGUGCCGUAACUUCGGGAGAAGGCACGCUGAUAUGUAGGUGAAGUCCCUUGCGGAUGGAGCUGAAAUCAGUCGAAGAUACCAGCUGGCUGCAACUGUUUAUUAAAAACACAGCACUGUGCAAACACGAAAGUGGACGUAUACGGUGUGACGCCUGCCCGGUGCCGGAAGGUUAAUUGAUGGGGU
rnacentral:rRNA from 1 species